GACGAACGCUGGCGGCGUGCUUAACACAUGCAAGUCGAACGGAAAGGCCCUGCUUUUGUGGGGUGCUCGAGUGGCGAACGGGUGAGUAACACGUGAGUAACCUGCCCUUGACUUUGGGAUAACUUCAGGAAACUGGGGCUAAUACCGGAUAGUAGCUCCUGCUGCAUGGUGGGGGUUGGAAAGUUUCGGCGGUUGGGGAUGGACCCGCGGCUUAUCAGCUUGUUGGUGGGGUAGUGGCUUACCAAGGCUUUGACGGGUAGCCGGCCUGAGAGGGUGACCGGCCACAUUGGGACGGAAAUACGGCCCGGACUCUAAGGGGAGGCAGCGGUGGGGAUUAUUGCACAAUGGGCGGAAGCCGAAGGCGGCAACGCGGCGUGCGGGAUGACGGCCUUCGGGUGGUAAACCGCUUUCGCCGGUGACGAGGCGUGAGUGACGGUAAUGGGUAAAGAAGCACCGGCUAACUACGUG
rnacentral:rRNA from 1 species